rnacentral:rRNA from 1 species
AGCAGCCGCGGUAAUUCCAGCUCCAAUAGCGUAUAUUAAAGUUGUUGCAGUUAAAAAAGACUCGUAGUUGAAUUUCGGGGUCAGUAGGUCGGUCGUGCCACAGGUAUGCACUGGUCUCACUGAUUCCUCCUUCCUGAUGAACCGUAAUGCCAUUAAUUUGGUGUUGCGGGGAGACUGGACUGUUACUUUGAAAAAAAUUAGAGUGUUUAAAGCAGGCUAACGCUUGAAUACAUUAGCAUGGAAUAAUGAAAUAGGACGUUUGAUCCUAUUUUGUUGGUUUCUAGGAUCGACGUAAUGAUUAAUAGGGAUAGUUGGGGGCAUUAGUAUUCAAUUGUCAGAGGUGAAAUUCUUGGAUUUAUUGAAGACUAACUACUGCGAAAGCAUUUGCCAAGGAUGUUUUCAUUAAUCAAGAACGAAAGUUAGGGGAUCGAAGACGAUCAGAUACCGUCGUAGUCUUAACCAUAAACUAUGCCGACUAGGGAUCGGAUGAUGUUAAUUUUUAAUGUACUCAAUUCGGCGC